AUCCUUCGUAGAAAUUCCUAAGGCUCAAUGCUGUGUGGAAGUUUCUAAGAAAGAAAAUAGUUUCCGAUCUUUGGGAUUCCCUGAGAUGGUCCAAUCUGCAAAAAGUUCAUUGCCAUUUCCAUCAAGGACACUGAGAACAAGAGUCUUAUCCGAUUGGAUCCUGGGAAUUGAGAAGUUUCCUCAAGGCUUCCUCUGGGACUAGGAUCAGGAUGUGGACACCCCAACCUGGACCGUCUAGCCGGGAGGGAUCCAGGGCCAGGUACUCAAUGCCACCCUUUGUCACGAUGACCUCCCGUCCCGCUUCACCGCCAUCCGG
rnacentral:sRNA from 1 species